UACGGGGGGAGCAAGCGUUGUUCGGAUUUACUGGGCGUAAAGGGCGCGUAGGCGGCCACCGCAAGUCGACUGUGAAAUCUCCGGGCUUAACCCGGAAAGGUCAGCCGAUACUGCGGGGCUAGAGUGCAGAAGGGGCAACUGGAAUUCUCGGUGUAGCGGUGAAAUGCGUAGAUAUCGAGAGGAACACCUGCGGCGAAGGCGGGUUGCUAGGCUGACACUGACGCUGAGGCGCGAGAGCCAGGGGAGCAAACGGG
rnacentral:rRNA from 1 species